GAUGAACGCUGGCGGCGUGCCUAAUACAUGCAAGUCGAGCGAACAGAUGAGGAGCUUGCUCCUCUGACGUUAGCGGCGGACGGGUGAGUAACACGUGGAUAACCUACCUAUAAGACUGGGAUAACUUCGGGAAACCGGAGCUAAUACCGGAUAAUAUAUUGAACCGCAUGGUUCAAUAGUGAAAGACGGUUUUGCUGUCACUUAUAGAUGGAUCCGCGCCGCAUUAGCUAGUUGGUAAGGUAACGGCUUACCAGGGCAACGAUGCGUAGCCGACCUGAGAGGGUGAUCGGCCACACUGGAACUGAGACACGGUCCAGACUCCUACGGGAGGCAGCAGUAGGGAAUCUUACGCAAUGGGCGAAAGCCUGACGGAGCAACGCCGCGUGAGUGAUGAAGGUCUUCGGAUCGUAAAACUCUGUUAUUAGGGAAGAACAAAUGUGUAAGUAACUAUGCACGUCUUGACGGUACCUAAUCAGAAAGCCACGGCUAACUACGUG
rnacentral:rRNA from 1 species